AAAUUCGCGUUGGGAGAACCCGCUUUCUGUGAAGCGGUGCCGAAGGAGCAACUGCCCCGGAAACUCUCAGGCCAAAGGACCAGCGCGUAUUU
rnacentral:ncRNA from 2 species